GAUGAACGCUAGCUACAGGCUUAACACAUGCAAGUCGCGGGGCAGCAUUUUCCUAGCUUGCUAGGGAAGAUGGCGACCGGCGCACGGGUGAGUAACGCGUAUCCAACCUUCCCAUGUCCACGGGAUAGCCCGUCGAAAGGCGGAUUAAUACCGUAUGAGGUCACAUGCGGGCAUCUAACUGUGACGAAAGGUUUAGCGGACAUGGAUGGGGAUGCGUCCGAUUAGCUAGUUGGCGGGGUAACGGCCCACCAAGGCGACGAUCGGUAGGGGUUCUGAGAGGAAGGUCCCCCCACAUUGGAACUGAGGCACGGUCCAAACUCCUACGGGAGGCAGCAGUGAGGAAUAUUGGUCAAUGGACGGGAGUCUGAACCAGCCAAGUAGCGUGCAGGAUGACGGCCCUAUGGGUUGUAAACUGCUUUUAUAAGGGAAUAAAGUGGGGCUCGUGAGCUCUUUUGCAUGUACCUUAUGAAUAAGGACCGGCUAAUUCCGUG
rnacentral:rRNA from 1 species